AGAAAACCACCACACCCCACUCGGCUGCCCCGAUCCCCACCUCCUCCCUCGAUUCCCUCCGCCGAACGCCAGAUCUCACCGCCGACGCCCCCACGACCCGCCUCGCCGCUGCCACUCCUCCUCCGCCGUCAAUGCGCUCCCUCCCCACGGCCGGCGCGCUCCCACCCGACGGCUGGCGCGGUCCCUCCCCGGCCGGCGCACUCCCUUCCCGCGGCUGGCACGGUCCCUCCCUGCAGCCAGCGCCCAUCCUCCUCCGCGACCGGCGCGGUCCCUCCCUGCUGCAACCCGCCAAUGCUCCUCUGCGGCCGGUGCGGUCCCUCCCGGCUACAACCUGCUAAUUCUCAUCCGCGACCGGCACGGUUCCUCACCGCUGCAGCCCGCCCCUCCUCCAUAGAUGGCCUGCACCGGCUGCUACAGUCCCUCCCCGGCCGGCGCACUCCCUUCCCGCGGCUGGCACGGUCCCUCCCUGCAGCCAGCGCCCAUCCUCCUCCGCGACCGGCGCGGUCCCUCCCUGCUGCAACCCGCCAAUGCUCCUCUGCGGCCGGUGCGGUCCCUCCCGGCUACAACCUGCUAAUUCUCAUCCGCGACCGGCACGGUUCCUCACCGCUGCAGCCCGCCCCUCCUCCAUAGAUGGCCUGCACCGGCUGCUACAGCCCAUCCAGGUGGUGGCCGUCAUCCUUGAUCCCGAUCCACAUCUGCCUGGGCUUCUAUGGCUGACCUGCCCAAUCACCGAUGGAUUCCUUCUCCAAACAGUACAAGAGCUACUCCCACUCUGCCUCCGACCUCCCUCCUCCCCCACAUGGCGAGUGUACUGCUCCCUACAACGCCCAUACCAUUCUUUCUCCCCUGGAUGCAUCUGGUCUCUCUUCAAUUACCGGUCAGCACCAAUGCUGCGAACAAAAAAAGGGCCCUGUGAUAGGGCAUCCAUCUCUUUUCAUCAAAGUCGCCGUCGUCCAUCUGCGUCGAGGCCACCCUGCCAGUGUAAAAUUCUGCUCUCAAAGGUGUCUGUUAUUGUGUAGUUUCAGAAAUCCUUCAGGAAAAAAAGAAAAAGAAAAAUGGAGCAGGAGUCAGAGGCCUCAAGCCCUCUCUCCACUUCGUGGCUUCUUGUUCUCAAAGCACAAGCUGCUCUUGCUACUAUUAGUAAACUACUUCUGCUCACUAUAAUGGCUGAGGGGCGUUGCCCAACUACGUGGAUGCUCGCCUGCUCACCGAGCGUCGCUGUAGUCCACCCCGAAGCCGUCAGCAGGAGGAGGUUGCACCAGUCCCGCCUCUCCUUCGUCCAGUGCUCCAAGAGGCCAGGGCAGAAAAAUCGGUCAUCUUCUGAUGAGCCCUGCCCCAACAGGAACCUCUCUCUACCUCUCUCAGCUACUAAUGGACACUAUAGUGUGAAGUUGAUGUAGAGAACAAGUUCUGAUUAUGUGCUCUGUACAUGCUUGUUGAUAUGUCAAUGAGAACCAACUUUUUUUCUUUA